UGACUUUCAUCAUCUUCUUGGCUAGCCUCCCUGUAUGAAUCAUUGGUUAGAAUAUCAUCUUUUAUAUCAAAAUUAUCUUUGCUCAAACAAUCAAUGAUAUUUGAAUUAUCAACAAGUUCUGUUUGAUCUGUUUGUUGGGACAAACAGUGUUCUGGUUGUGUUUCUUCAGCAACUCGUUCUAGUACUUGCCAUCUUUCAUCAGCUUCACGCUCUUCCUCUUUUCUUACCAUGUCUUCUCUCCAUUUGGCGGCUACUCGAUCCACUUCCUGUUGGAGAUUGUGCAAAGUUUCCAACAUCUUACGAAAAUUAG
rnacentral:lncRNA from 1 species